rnacentral:rRNA from 1 species
GACAGAGGUGCCGAGCGUUAGGCGGAAUCACUGGGCUUAAAGCGUGUGUAGGCGGAUGCCUAAGUACCUUGUGAAAUCCCACAGCUCAACUGUGGAACUGCUUGGUAUACUGGCGGUCUUGAGCCAGCUAGGGGCUACCGGAACAAAUGGUGGAGCGGUGAAAUGCGUAGAUAUCAUUUGGAACGCCAAUGGUGAAAACAGGUAGCUGGGGCUGUGCUGACACU